UACAGAGGUCUCAAGCGUUGUUCGGAUUCAUUGGGCGUAAAGGGUGCGUAGGUGGCGUCGUAAGUCGGGUGUGAAAUUUCGGAGCUUAACUCCGAAACUGCACUUGAUACUGCGGUGCUCGAGUACUGGAGAGGAGAUUGGAAUUUACGGUGUAGCAGUGAAAUGCGUAGAUAUCGUAAGGAAGACCAGUGGCGAAGGCGAAUCUCUGGACAGUUACUGACACUGAGGCACGAAGGCCAGGGGAGCAAACGGG
rnacentral:rRNA from 1 species